rnacentral:rRNA from 1 species
AACGCGAAGAACCUUACCCAGACUUGACAUGCAGUGGACCGCAACAGAAAUGUUGCUUUCCUUCGGGACCGCUGCACAGGUGCUGCAUGGCUGUCGUCAGCUCGUGCCGUGAGGUGUUGGGUUAAGUCCCGCAACGAGCGCAACCCUUAUCGUUAGUUGCCAACAUUUAAGGUGGGAACUCUAACGAGACUGCCUGGGUUAACCAGGAGGAAGGUGAGGAUGACGUCAAGUCCGCAUGGCCCUUAUGUCUGGGGCUACACACGUGCUACAAUGGUCGGUACAGAAGGCAGCAAAGCCGCGAGGUAGAGCAAAUCCAGAAAGCCGAUCCCAGUUCAGAUUGUAGUCUGCAACUCGACUACAUGAAGUUGGAAUUGCUAGUAAUGGCGAGUCAGCAAUAUCGCCGUGAAUACGUUCCCGGGCCUUGUACACACCGGUAUCUC